AGGUCAAGAGAGGCCUCAGUGCAGCCUAAAAAGAGGAACUGAGAAUUCACCUGGCAAGUCUCUCUAGGUCAUUCUUGGAAAACCCCAGGUUUCAUCCUUCCUUACAGAAUAACAGGUCCUACAAGCAUAACAGCAGCUGAUUGAAUCGACAACAGUAUUUUUAGCCAAGCUUCGUUAAAGAUUCAACACAAAGCCAAACUGUGUUAGUCAUAACAUGUGAGCAAAACUGCAGACUCCCUCUUCAUUCAUUUUAAUCAAAUGUAUUUACAUAUAUUUACAGCUGU
rnacentral:lncRNA from 1 species